GCGGAAAAAUCCCACAAAAACGGGUGGGCUAUAGCCUUGGGGGGUGGGGCUGGGCCACUUCGUCCACCGGACUCGGAAUGCCGCGAGACUUUACGAGGGGCCUCCAUGUGCCAAAAAUAGGCCAUGGACAAAGCCACGCCAAUAAAUAACCGGCCGAAGGCCGGGGCGCCAAGUUCGUCCAGCGGAAAAAGGCCACAAAAACGGAUGGGCUAUAGCCUUGGGGGGUGGGGCUGGCCAACUUCGUCCGCCGGACUCGGAAUGCGGCGAGACUUUGCGAGGGGCCUCCGUGUGCCAAAAAUAGGCCGCGGCCAAAGCCGCGCUAAAAAAUAACCACCCGACGGCCGGGGCGCCAAGUUCGUCCUGCGGAAAAAGGCCACAAAAACGGGUGGGCUAUAGCCUUGGGGGGUGGGGCUGGCCAACUUCGUCCGCCGGACUCGGAAUGCCGCGAGACUUUGCGAGGGGCCUCCGUGUGCCAAAAAUAGGCCGCGGGCAAAGCCGCGCUCAAAAAUAAGUGCCCGAAGCCCGGGGCGCCGAAUUCGUCCAGCGGAAAAAGGCCACAAGAACGGGCGGGCUAUAGCCUUGGGGGUUGGGGCUGGCCAACUUCGUCCGCCGGACUCGGAAUGCCGCGAGACUUUGCGAGGGGCCUCCGUGUGCCAAAAAUAGGCCGCGGGCAAAGCCGCGCUCAAAAAUAAGUGCCCGAAGCCCGGGGCGCCGAAUUCGUCCAGCGGAAAAAGGCCACAAGAACGGGCGGGCUAUAGCCUUGGGGGUUGGGGCUGGCCAACUUCGUCCGCCGGACUCGGAAUGCCGCGAGACUUUGCGAGGGGUCUCCGUGUGCCAAAAAUAGGCCGCGGGCAAAGCCGCGCCCAAAAAUAAUCACCCAACGGCCGGGGCGCCAAGUUCAUCCAGUGGAAAAAGGCCACAAAAACGGGUGGGCUAUAGCCUUGGGGGGUGGGGCUGGCCCACUUCGUCCGCCGGACUCAGAAUGCCGCGAGACUUUGCGAGGGGCCUCCAUAUGCAAAAAAUAGGCCGCGGACAAAGCCGCGCCCUGAAAUAACCGCCCGAAGGCCGGGGCGCCAAGUUCGUCCAGCGGAAAAAAGCCACAAAAACGGGUGGGCUAUAGCCUUGGGGGGUGGGGCUGGCCAACUUCGUCCGCCGGAAUCGGAAUGCUGCGAGACUUUGCGAGGGGCCUCCGUGUGCCAAAAAUAGGCCGCGGCCAAAGCCGCGCCCAAAAAUAACCACCCGAAGGCCGGGGCGCCAAGUUCGUCCUGCGGAAAAAGGCCACAAAAACGGGUGGGCUAUAGCCUUGAGGGGUGGGGCUGGCCAACUUUGUCCGCCGGACUCGGAAUGCCGCAAGACUUUGCGAGGGGCCUCCGUGUGCCAAAAAUAGGCUGCGGGCAAAGCCGCGCCCAAAAAUAACUGCCCGAAGCCCGGGGCGCCGAAUUCGUCCAGCGGAAAAAGGCCACAAAAACGGGUGGGCUAUAGCCUUGGGGGUUGGGGCUGGCCAACUUCGUCCGCCGGACUCGGAAUGCCGCGAGACGUUGCGAGGGGCCUCCGUGUGCCAAAACUUGGCCGCGGACAAAGCCGCGCCCAGAAAUAACCGCCCGAAGGCCGGGGCGCCAAGUUCGUCCAGCGGAAAAUGGCCACAAAAACGGGUGGGCUAUNNNNNNNNNNNNNNNNNNNNNNNNNNNNNNNNNNNNNNNNNNNNNNNNNNNNNNNNNNNNNNNNNNNNNNNNNNNNNNNNNNNNNNNNNNNNNNNNNNNNNNNNNGCCCAAAAAUAACCGCCCGAAGGCCGGGGCGCCAAGUUCGUCCAGCGGAAAAAGGCCACAAAAACGGGUGGGCUAUAGCCUUGGGGGGUGGGGCUGGCCGACUUCGUCCGCCGGACUCGGAAUGGCGCGAGACUUUGCGAGGGGCCUCCGUGUGCCAAAAAUAGGCCGCAGGUACAGCCGCACCCAAAAAUAGCCGCCCGAAGGCCGGGGCGCCAAGUUCGUCCUGUGGAAAAAGGCCACAAAAACGGGUGGGCUAUAGCCUUGGGGGGUGGGGCUGGCCAACUUCGUCCGCCGGACUCGGAAUGCCGCGAGACUUUGCGAGGGGCCUCCGUGUGCCAAAAAUAGGCCGCAGGCAAAGCCACGCCCAAAAAUAACGGCCCAAAGGCCGGGGCGCCAAGUUCGUCCGGCGGAAAAAGGCCACAAAAACGGGUGGGCUAUAGCCUUGAGGGGUGGGGCUGGCCAACUUCGUCCGUCGGACUAGGAAUGCCGCGAUACUUUGCGAGGGGCCUCCGUGUGCCAAAAAUAGGCCGCGGGCAAAACCACGCCGAAAAAUAACCGCCCGAAGGGCGGGGCGCCAAGUUCCUCCUGCGGAAAAAGACCACCAAAACGGGUGGGCUAUAGCCUUGGGGGGUUGGGCUGGCCAACUUCGUCCGCCGGACUCGGAAUGGCGCGAGACUUUGCGAGUGGCCUCCGUGUGCAAAAAAUAGGCCGCGAUCAAAGCCCCGCCCAAAAAUAACCGCCCGAAGGCCGGGGCGCCAAGUUCGUCCAGCGGAAAAAGGCCAAAAAAACGGGUGGGCUAAAGCCUUGGGGGGUUGGGCUGGCCAAGUUCGUCCGCCGGACUCGCAAUGGCGCGAGACUUUGCGAGGGGCCUCCGUGUGCCAAAAAUAGGCCGCGGGCACAGCUUCACCCA
rnacentral:lncRNA from 1 species